CAUUAACUUGAAACUUUCUCAAACAAGUUUAAACAGUGUAUAUUACAUCCAGCAAUAACCUGAUUUGACUGCACUGUCUGCUGCAACACUAACACUGUUGAUGGUUUGCUAAAUCGCUGUAUUUGUAUGUAAAUGAGGACACUCCCCUAAAGUUCAGCCCAUGUCCAGAGCUAACGCUGACUUGCCGAGUGGGCACUAAAACACGGUUGCUAAAUCACAUAGGUGGGCAAAGUCUGUUUGCCCACACGUGCGCCUGAUUCUGGUGCGCUAACUGUCCACACAAGUGUUUUGCGAUUGCCUUAGGGAUUUGCGAACGUUGCUAAAUAGGGCCCAGAAUGAUUAAAAUCCAAAGUGAUUCAAAGUACAAUCUACCUAUUCAAAUGUUUACCUACAGUUACUACAAAUAGGAAACCAUUAACAGCAGUGACCAGAUGAUCACGUGGUGACACUGGUGGAGUGUUCACAGCCAUGAAAUUGUGUACUUUUUCAUUUUGCUAGACAUCUUCUGUUUUCUUCAUUUUUUUCCAUUGCUUUCUUUUGUAUUUUUGUUUCCUUUUUGAUAACUGUUCAUUAUUAUUUAACUUUCCACUUUGUUUUCUUUUUAGGUACCUUUGAGCAGAUGACUUUGGUCCCAUUUUCCUUUAAGAUAAAGGAAAAUGGGACCAAAAUUGUAUAGUAUGCACUACUAUGAAGAGAUGCCUUCAUCCAAGGCGACUUACAGAGACUGGGGUGUAUGAACUAUGCAUCAGCUGCAGAGUCACUUACAUCAAUGUCACACCCGGAAGAGCACCAGGAGGUUAAGUGACUUGCUCAGGAUCACACAGCGAGUCAGUGAGUGAGCCGGGAUUUUAACCAGGGAACUCCUGGUUACAAGUCCUUUUUUUAACCACUGAACCACACAGCCUCCUUACUGUCUAGUGAAAAUGAAUAGACCAACACAAUGUAGGAAUGCACAGCAAGUCUUGCAGUACUGUACUUUCAGGAGUUAUCAGAAGACGAAUCUGGACACGAACAUGCAUCAGAUCAAGACAGUGAUGAAACUUACUCUAAUAACAAUGAGGCUAGUGAUAGUGAAAGUGAUAACAAAGUUGCGAAAUUUUGGGACAGAGACAAACACAAACACAAGCUGUGGAAAGUGCGUGGCAAGUGCACUGCACGUGUACAGAAGUGGCAUGUCUGUGUUGAUUGCAAAAACUACACUCCACAAGGUUUUUUUUUUACAUUCCACAUUUUUAAGUUACACAUUUCCAUCUUUUGAACAUUUGAACAAUAUGCAUUUUUAAGAGUUUUAUCUUUCCAUCUUUUAAACAGUUGAACAAUUCACGUUUUGAAGUUCCAUUCAUUGAAGAUACCUGACGCUCCUGGGAUAGCCAGCCUGCUGUGUGUGAUUGCCAGCUGUGGGUGAUCAGCGGGUAGGUGUGUUCCAGCACGGCGUCAGGUAUAAAGAGGUCCUGUUUGUUCACCACGGGGCUGCUGCAAAGCCACGGACAACGGGCUGAAGAUCGUCCACGCUACCCGAGCAUAGUGAGAGAAAUAAGUUGCUGAAAUCCUCCGAUCGCCGUGAUGGUGAACCGGGAUUGGAGCCAAAAGAAGCUGCCAAAACCGCCGACGGGGUUUGUGUUGAUACAUAUAGAUUAGUUCGGGGAUGGUAGAUCCCUUUAAAAGUAUAGCGAGGUGAGCAAGCGGGACCUCCAUGUAUUAGGGAGUAGCGCACGCCGUUUUUACGGCACCUUUUAUUUUAUAGUUUUUUUGUAUUGUGUUUUAUUUUGUUUCUUCGUACGCUGGCCGUAUGCACUCAGUGAGCUACCAUGGUUGGUAGUGUCACGUGAGAUGUUCUGUGUGUGUGUGUGUGUAAAUAAAUCCUGCGGGGCGUGUCAACAUCAA